rnacentral:rRNA from 1 species
GAUGAACGCUGGCGGCGUGCCUAAUACAUGCAAGUCGAGCGAACGGACGAGAAGCUUGCUUCUCUGAUGUUAGCGGCGGACGGGUGAGUAACACGUGGAUAACCUACCUAUAAGACUGGGAUCACUUCGGGAAACCGGAGCUAAUACCGGAUAAUAUUUUGAACCGCAUGGUUCAAAAGUGAAAGACGGUCUUGCUGUCACUUAUAGAUGGAUCCGCGCUGCAUUAGCUAGUUGGUAAGGUAACGGCUUACCAAGGCAACGAUGCAUAGCCGACCUGAGAGGGUGAUCGGCCACACUGGAACUGAGACACGGUCAAGACUACUACGGGAGGCAGCAGUAGGGAAUCUUCCGCAAUGGGCGAAAGCCUGACGGAGCAACGCCGCGUGAGUGAUGAAGGUCUUCGGAUCGUAAAACUCUGUUAUUAGGGAAGAACAGAUGUGUAAGUAACUGUGCACAUCUUGACGGUACCUAAUAAGAAAGCCACGGCUAACUACGUG